GGGGGGAGGCUCAGUGGUAGAGCACGUGCUUAGCAUGCACAAGGUCCUGGAUUCAAUCCCCAGUACCUUCA
rnacentral:tRNA from 1 species